CAGUCGCCGCGGUAAUACGUAGGUCCCGAGCGUUGUCCGGAUUUAUUGGGCGUAAAGCGAGCGCAGGCGGUUAGAUAAGUCUGAAGUUAAAGGCUGUGGCUUAACCAUAGUACGCUUUGGAAACUAUUUAACUUGAGUGCAGAAGGGGAGAGUGGAAUUCCAUGUGUAGCGGUGAAAUGCGUAGAUAUAUGGAGGAACACCGGUGGCGAAAGCGGCUCUCUGGUCUGUAACUGACGCUGAGGCUCGAAAGCGUGGGGAGCAAACAGGAUUAGAUACCCGAGUAGUCCCUGUCUCUUAUACA
rnacentral:rRNA from 1 species